rnacentral:lncRNA from 1 species
AUAUAUAUAUAUAUAUAUAUAUAUAUAUAUUUAUCAUAUGUUUAGUAGUAAAUACAGUAGUUUUGCAUAUGUGAUAAAUAGCCUGUUGUUUAAUCCAUAUCGCGCAACUUUGAUGCGCACUCUUUAUCGCAUACCCUUUAUCACACCCCUACCCUUUAUCGCAUACCCUUUAUCACACCCCUACUUUUUUUUUUUUUUUUUUUUUUUUUUACAUAAAGUCAGUUUUUUUUUUUUUUUUUUUUUUUUUUUUUGCUUAAGAAAAAUUUUCCUCAAAAUAGGUAAAUUUUUUGAAUGACGUCAUUGUUUGGUAUGCGACGUCACGAACGUCGAGUUUUCAUAUUGUAUGUGACGUCACGAACGUCAAGUUUUUAUAUUUUUUGGCAAACUAAAUGCAACUAUGAAAAAUACAAAACACACAAAUUAAUAC